UACGGGGGGGGCAAGCGUUGUUCGGAAUUACUGGGCGUAAAGGGCGCGUAGGCGGCCUUCUAAGUCAGACGUGAAAUCCCUCGGCUCAACCGAGGAACUGCGUCUGAUACUGGAAGGCUUGAAUCCGGGAGGGGGAUGUGGAAUUCUCGGUGUAGCGGUGAAAUGCGUAGAUAUCGAGAGGAACACCUGCGGCGAAGGCGGGUUGCUGGGCUGACACUGACGCUGAUGCGCGAAAGCCAGGGGAGCGAACGGG
rnacentral:rRNA from 1 species